rnacentral:rRNA from 1 species
GCAUAUCAAUAAGCGGAGGAAAAGAAACCAACAGGGAUUGCCCUAGUAACGGCGAGUGAAGCGGCAACAGCUCAAAUUUGAAAGCUAGCCUUCGGGUUCGCAUUGUAAUUUGUAGAGGAUGAUUUGGGGAAGCCGCCUGUCUAAGUUCCUUGGAACAGGACGUCAUAGAGGGUGAGAAUCCCGUAUGUGACAGGAAAUGGCACCCUAUGUAAAUCUCCUUCGACGAGUCGAGUUGUUUGGGAAUGCAGCUCUAAAUGGGAGGUAAAUUUCUUCUAAAGCUAAAUAUUGGCGAGAGACCGAUAGCGCACAAGUAGAGUGAUCGAAAGAUGAAAAGCACUUUGGAAAGAGAGUUAAAAAGCACGUGAAAUUGUUGAAAGGGAAGCGCUUGCAAUCAGACUUGUUUAAACUGUUCGGCCGGUCUUCUGACCGGUUUACUCAGUUUGGACAGGCCAGCAUCAGUUUCGGCGGCCGGAUAAAGGCUCUGGGAAUGUGGCCUCCACUUCGGUGGAGGUGUUAUAGCCCAGGGUGUAAUACGGCCAGCCGGGACUGAGGUCCGCGCUUCGGCUAGGAUGCUGGCGUAA